GCAGGUCACUGAGAAAAAUGCCGGAUCCGGCAAGUGUUCUGGAAUUUUAGAUGGAGAUAAAACGUCAGCAUACUGCGGAAUUAUCUCAGUCCUGAAAAGUCAUAAAAAGACUGAACUGAAGACAUCCUGAACGGAUUGCUCUCCAUUCAGAAUGCAUGGGGAUAAAACUGAUCAGUUCUUUUCCGGUAUUGAGCCCCUAGGACGGAACUCAGUGCUGGAAAAGAAUAACGCUGGUGUGACUGUACCCUUAGGGAUAAAACCUUCCCCUGUGUUCCUGCAGCAGCUCUAAGCAGGCAGUAGUAUAGGCAAAUACCUUCAUCAGUGCAACCGCUGUUACUGGCGUCAUCCAGCUCAAUACUUUUGACUGGGAGCACAUCUAGAACAAUCGCCAAAAUGAUCACACCAUAUGGUAUAUGUGGCAUGUACCUGAGCCAUGUAGGAUUCACAUCUGAGACCCAACACCAGAAGUGACACAGACACUUAAAGGAACAACAAGAAACCAAACAGCGGUAGCUUAAAAUGUUUAAUUUAUAAAAACAGAACCUAAAAAUAUUAAAAUGAUCUCUACGCACUGCAAUCUUUACAAGACGGCAUGCUGAUUAAUAGACUUCAGCUCCCUUUUGUAAUGAGCCACCAGCAGGGGGCUGACAAGGUGUUACACAUUUAUGUUGUCGAGCGCUGCAGGCCCCCUGCUGGUGAGCUGGAGUAAUGCAGCAAUUGUUUUAAAAUCAGCAGAAAAAUACUGCGUUCCCUUUCUACCUGAUCUCAAAUGCCCUGUAGGAAGGAAGGGAAAUGUCAUCAUGAUACUGCAGCCUGGAAUCCAGGUGCUCGGGAGGAAUAUGCCUGCGUCAAUAACAAAAUUUAAGCCGAGGGUCAAUGCAAAUUUUUAAGGUGUACGGUUUUUGAGAGGUUGCCUCCAGCAUUUUACGAAUUUUAUGGAGGCCAGAAAGUGCAGCCAUAUUGGUUGUCACUAUUGAAUUGAAGCGUCUAAGCAGAUGAUUAAAUGCAUCGUAUAUUAAUUCAUUUUACACAAAUUUUACAACAGUCAUCAGGUGAGGGGGAAAUUAUUUAGGAAAAAAAAUAAAAUA